rnacentral:rRNA from 1 species
GGCCCCAUGGACAGACAUAUGGGGUCGGACCUGCCCGGUGAUAAAUAAUUAAACGGCCGCUGUAAUUGGUGCGAUGGUAGCAAAAUCUAUAGCCCUUUAAUUGGGGGCGUGUGAAUGGUUUAGACGUGGGUGAAACUGUCUCGUAUAAAAGAAGUGAAAUUUACUUUUGGGUGCAAAGGCCCAAAUAAUACGGUUGGACGAGAAGACCCUGUAGAGCUUUAUCCAGUGAUGGAAUUGGUUGGGGCAAUCGAAGAGCAAUAAAAACCUCUUAACUAGAAAAGGUUGAUAAAAGACCCGUUAUUUACGAUUAUUAGAAGAAGCUACCGCAGGGAUAACAGCGUAAUCUUCCUUGAGAGUUCAUAUUGACGGGGGGGUUUGCGACCUCGAUGUUGAAUUAGGGUAUUCGUGAGGUGCAGAAGCCUCAGUGGAUAGGUCUGUUCGACCUUUAAAACCCU